rnacentral:rRNA from 1 species
UACAGAGGUCUCAAGCGUUGUUCGGAUUCAUUGGGCGUAAAGGGUGCGUAGGUGCGCGCGUAAGUCGAGGUGAGAUUCGGAGCUUAACUUCCGAAACUGCAUUUGAUACUGGCGUGCUUGAGGACUGGAGAGGAGACUGGAAUUCAUGGUGUAGCAGUGAAAUGCGUAGAGAUCAUGAGGAAGACCAGUGGCGAAGGCGGGUCUCUGGACAGUUCCUGACACUGAGGCACGAAGGCCAGGGGAGCAAACGGG